CUACGGGUGGCACCAGUGGGGAACCUUGGACAAUGGGCGCAAGCCUGAUCCAGCCAUGCCGCGUGAGUGAAGAAGGCCUUAGGGUCGUAAAGCUCUUUCGCCAGAGAUGAUAAUGACAGUAUCUGGUAAAGAAACCCCGGCUAACUCCGUGCCAGCAGCCGCGGUAAUACGGAGGGGGUUAGCGCUGUUCGGAACUACUGGGCGUAAAGCGCGCGUAGGCGGAUUAGUCAGUCAGAGGUGAAAUCCCAGGGCUCAACCCUGGAACUGCCUUUGAUACUGCUAGUCUUGAGUUCGAGAGAGGUGAGUGGAAUUCCGAGUGUAGAGGUGAAAUUCGUAGAUAUUCGGAGGAACACCAGUGGCGAAGGCGGCUCACUGGCUCGAUACUGACGCUGAGGUGCGAAAGUGUGGGGAGCAAACAGGAUUAGAUACCCUCGUAGUC
rnacentral:rRNA from 1 species